rnacentral:rRNA from 1 species
GACGAACGCUGGCGGCGUGCUUAACACAUGCAAGUCGAACGGUGAUGCUCCAGCUUGCUGGGGUGGAUCAGUGGCGAACGGGUGAGUAACACGUGAGCAACCUGCCCCAGACUCUGGAAUAAGCGCUGGAAACGGCGUCUAAUACUGGAUACGAGACUGGCCCGCAUGGGCAUGGUUGGGAAAGUUGUUCGGGUUGGGAUCGGCUCGCGGCCUAUCAGCUUGUUGGUGAGGUAAUGGCUAACCAAGGCAACGAUGGGUAGCCGGCCUGAGAGGGCGAACGGCCACACUGGGACUGAGACACGGCCCAGACUCCUACGGGAGGCAGCAGUGGGGAAUAUUGCACAAUGGGCGAAAGCCUGAUGCAGCGACGCCGCGUGAGGGAUGACGGCCUUCGGGUUGUAAACCUCUUUCAGCAGGGAAGAAGCGAAAGUGACGUUACCUGCAGAAGAAGCACCGGCUAACUACGUG